rnacentral:misc_RNA from 1 species
UAGUUAUCUCACUCAGGAUCAUAUACU